GGGGGUGCCCCGGAGUUGGAGAGCCGGGCCAGACUGUAAAUCUGGUGCUUCACAGCUGAGUAGGUUCGAAUCCCACCACCCCCACCU
rnacentral:tRNA from 1 species